CUCUGGAGGCUGUUUGUAACUGUGGUCACAAAAACAAUGUUCUGUGAGAACGGGAAGCAGCUCCAUUUUUGGGGGCCCUUUACACAGCUCAAGGUCUGGGACCCAGGGCCUGACAGUGAGUAUGCCCAUAAGGCCCACCCAUAAGUCCACCUACAUGUUCCACCCAUGAGUUUGCUCACAGGGAGUGGAGUGUUUAGAGGAUGUGUUAGGUGUUAUUGUAGAGGAUCUAAAGUGUCUGCGUAUGGAAUGUAGUGUAUAGGGAUACCAGUUUGUGUAGGUGAUGCAGAGUGUGUGUGUAGUGGAUGCAGUGUGUGUUUGUGUGUAAGGGAUGCAUUGUGUGAAACUGUGUUUGUAUAUGUAAGGGAUGAAGGUGUGUUUCUGAGUAUGUAAGGGAUGCGGUGUGUGUGUGUGUGUAAGAGAUGCAUUGUGUUUCCAUGUGUGUAAGGGAUGCAUUGUGUGUUUCUGUGUAUGUGUGUAAGGGGUGCAUUGUGUGUCCGUGUAUGUAUCUGUUAUAUGGUGUGUAUCUGCAUUUAUGUCAGUGUGUGUUUGUAUGAAUGAGACACAUUGAAUGUGUGGGGAGGAGGGGUGAGAUGUAUGGGUGGGGUCCCCAAGGCAAUGUUCGCACCGGGGCCCCGUGGUUCCUAGUUACACCUCUGUGCGUGGCACUAUAUAUUCAGCAAUCAAAGGUCAAUUCUACAUACAUACAUAAACACUAAACACAAGUACACCACUGCUUUUAAAUAGUAACAGUACACACAAAUACGUACAUACAUUCUAACACAAAUACUGCUCACAAAUACAGCCCUAAAAGAUGGGCACACGGUGGAUUCCCAGCUGGAAAAGCAUUGUGGGGUUUGUGCAACAGAUGGGCAUUUACCUUGUGACCAUGCUUGUGAUUGAGGGGGUCCCCCCCCAAAAAAACAAAUUUGCACCAGGGCCCUUUGUACAAAUGUUUUGCUACCACUUGGGGCAUAAGUAGAAAG